AUGCAGCUGACUCUGGAGGUGAAGAUACAUACAGAAGACAGAUUGCAACAUAUUUUCUUGCAUUAAAGGGGCAGCAACCCACACAAAUGUUAGAAUGUACAAGGAACAUGCUAGGCUCUUCUGGAGGAACUGUCAACUUGACUCUUGGGAGAGUCCUCAGAAGAAGGACCUAAUUUCAAGGUGGUGCAAGCUGAGUGGAUACUAGAGGUAGAAGAUUACUUGGUGCCCAAGAAACCUGAGGGGCAACUAUUAUAGAAAUGAAGGAAAACUGGAAGCCAUAUUGAAGUUGGACUGCAACCAACAGCCAGGGAUGCUUUCCCAGGCUCCUAGGGCAGAGAAGAU
ensembl:lncRNA